rnacentral:rRNA from 1 species
ACUCCGAAUGCCAAUUAAUUUAACUUGGGAGUCAGAACAUGGGUGAUAAGGUCCGUGUUCGAAAGGGAAACAGCCCAGACCACCAGCUAAGGUCCCAAAAUAUAUGUUAAGUGGAAAAGGAUGUGGCGUUGCCCAGACAACUAGGAUGUUGGCUUAGAAGCAGCCAUCAUUUAAAGAGUGCGUAAUAGCUCACUAGUCGAGUGACACUGCGCCGAAAAUGUACCGGGGCUAAACAUAUUACCGAAGCUGUGGAUUGUCCUUUGGACAAUGGUAGGAGAGCGUUCUAAGGGCGUUGAAGCAUGAUCGUAAGGACAUGUGGAGCGCUUAGAAGUGAGAAUGCCGGUGUGAGUAGCGAAAGACGGGUGAGAAUCCCGUCCACCGAUUGACUAAGGUUUCCAGAGGAAGGCUCGUCCGCUCUGGGUUAGUCGGGUCCUAAGCUGAGGCCGACAGGCGUAGGCGAUGGAUAACAGGUUGAUAUUCCUGUACCAC